rnacentral:rRNA from 1 species
UACGGGGGGGGCAAGCGUUGUUCGGAAUUACUGGGCGUAAAGGGCUCGUAGGCGGCCAACUAAGUCAGACGUGAAAUCCCCAGGCUCAACCUGGGAACUGCGUCUGAUACUGGAUGGCUUGAAUCCGGGAGAGGGAUGCAGAAUUCCAGGUGUAGCGGUGAAAUGCGUAGAUAUCUGGAGGAAUACCUGAGGUGAAGACGGGUUGCUGGGCUGACACUGACGCUGAUGCGCGAAAGCCAGGGGAGCAAACGGG